rnacentral:tRNA from 1 species
UCGGGAAAUGGCUCAGCUUGGUAGAGCGCCUCGUUCGGGACGAGAAGGUCGCAGUUUCAAAUCCUGUCUUCCCGAUC